rnacentral:sRNA from 1 species
ACAUAAAGUUUAUUUAUAAGUUCUAGCUUCAUUGUUUAAUAUGAAUUGAAGAAAGUGAGAUUUGUAAAAUUAACCUUUUUUUACUACUUUUUUGCAAUAAUACCUUUUUAUGUUGUCCAUUUUUAAAAAUACUCAUUUCCUUGAAUAGAAUGACCAAAUUACCCUCAUCUAAUAGGAACAUGUAAUUGGAAACUGAAAUUUUUCCGCAAAAA